rnacentral:rRNA from 1 species
GAUGAACGCUGGCGGCGUGCCUAAUACAUGCAAGUCGAGCGAACAGACGAGGAGCUUGCUCCUCUGACGUUAGCGGCGGACGGGUGAGUAACACGUGGAUAACCUACCUAUAAGACUGGGAUAACUUCGGGAAACCGGAGCUAAUACCGGAUAAUAUAUUGAACCGCAUGGUUCAAUAGUGAAAGACGGUUUUGCUGUCACUUAUAGAUGGAUCCGCGCCGCAUUAGCUAGUUGGUAAGGUAACGGCUUACCAAGGCAACGAUGCGUAGCCGACCUGAGAGGGUGAUCGGCCACACUGGAACUGAGACACGGUCCAGACUCCUACGGGAGGCAGCAGUAGGGAAUCUUCCGCAAUGGGCGAAGGCCUGACGGAGCAACGCCGCGUGAGUGAUGAAGGUCUUCGGAUCGUAAAACUCUGUUAUUAGGGAAGAACAAAUGUGUAAGUAACUAUGCACGUCUUGACGGUACCUAAUCAGAAAGCCACGGCUAACUACGUG